GCUCACCUCAAUUUGAAGUACUACUAGGCUUACGCGUCCGUACUCGGCAACUACUCGGCUAAUCUCUCAACAGUGAUCCUACUCUCACUGUUCGGUCUACCGCGGCACAUCCUCAAACAUCAUAGCUCAUUCUCGCAAUCUCUUAUCCAUUGCUUCGAGAGUCAUUUACUAGAUCACGUUCACCACGAGUCCCAUUUCUU
rnacentral:lncRNA from 1 species